UUUAGGGAGAGAAUCCUAAGGCCGGCGGAAGAAUUGCAGUUAAGGAACUAGGCAAAUUGACCCCGUAAGUUAGCGAGAAGGGGUGCCUGCGAGAGCAGGCCGCAGAGAAUAGGCCCAAGCAACUGUUUAGCAAAAACACAGGUCUCUGCUAAAGCGCAAGCUGAUGUAUAGGGGCUGACGCCUGCCCGGUGCUGGAAGGUUAAGGGGAACACUUAGCGCAAGCGAAGGUGUGAACUUAAGCCCCAGUAAACGGCGGCCGUAACAAUAACGGUCCUAAGGUAGCGAAAUUCCUUGUCAGGUAAGUUCUGACCCGCACGAAUGGCGUAAUGACUUGGGCACUGUCUCAACUGCAAAUCCGGCGAAGUUGUAGUGCGAGUGAAGAUGCUCGCUACCCGCGAUUGGACGGAAAGACCCCGUAGAGCUUUACUGUAGCUUAGCAUUGAAUUCCGGUAUUGUCUGUACAGGAUAGGUGGGAGACUGGGAAACUAGGGCGUCAGCCUUAGUUGAGUCGUCCUUGGGAUACCACCCUGACAGUACUGGGGUUCUAACAGGACGCCAUGAAUCUGGUGACUGGACAUUGUUAGGUGGGCAGUUUGACUGGGGCGGUCGCCUCCUAAAAAGUAACGGAGGCGCCCAAAGGUUCCCUCAGAACGGUCGGAAAUCGUUCGUAGAGUGCAAAGGCAGAAGGGAGCCUGACUGCGAGACCUACAAGUCGAGCAGGGACGAAAGUCGGGCUUAGUGAUCCGGUGGUACCUCGUGGGAGGGCCAUCGCUCAACGGAUAAAAGCUACCUCGGGGAUAACAGGCUGAUCUCCCCCAAGAGUCCACAUCGACGGGGAGGUUUGGCACCUCGAUGUCGGCUCGUCGCAUCCUGGGGCUGUAGUAGGUCCCAAGGGUUGGGCUGUUCGCCCAUUAAAGCGGCACGCGAGCUGGGUUCAGAACGUCGUGAGACAGUUCGGUCCCUAUCCGUCGCGGGCGUAGGAAAUUUGAGAGGAGCUGUCCUUAGUACGAGAGGACCGGGAUGGACUGACCUCUGGUGCACCAGUUGUUCUGCCAAGAGCAUGGCUGGGUAGCUAAGUCGGGAAGGGAUAAACGCUGAAAGCAUCUAAGCGUGAAGCCUCCCUCAAGAUGAGAUUUCCCAUAGCAUAAGCUAGUAAGACCCCUUGAAGAACACGAGGUUGAUAGGUCAGAGGUGUAAGUGUGGUAACAUAUUUAGCUGACUGAUACUAAUAGGUCGAGGGCUUGACC
rnacentral:rRNA from 1 species